rnacentral:tmRNA from 1 species
GGUCUUUUCUUUGCCUAAAUUUUCUCUUAUAUAGAGAUUGCCUCUAUAAGGGGCUAUGGUGAUAAAUGGGCUUUGUAAUAAACCUAUUGGACCCGGGGGCGGUACCCGGCGCCUCCACCAUAAAUCGGACAAUUGGCAUUUUGGUUGUUGUCCGCUUUAUGAUGGGGGCGAAAUAGGAUCGACAAGGGCGUAAAGAUUGAUCUUUCACUCGGCAUUGUACCACCGUUAUCGGGCUAAAGUAGUAGUUGCAAAUGACAAUUACGCGGAGGCACGUCUCGCUGCUUAAUGCAGUGCGAUAGCUUCAAAUUAAGUCUUAUGCCGUCGCAGGUAUAAGCGGGGUUCGGAGGCACCUGGCAACAGAAGCCUUCACU